GGGUGGUGGUGGGGGGUUUUGGGGGAGAGAUAGGUGGAGGUGGGGAAAGCACUGCAACACAAGUACACAACAGGAUCACAAUAUAAAUUCAAUUCACUUAGUUCAAUUUUUCACACAAUUAGUUAGUGUACCUUGAAUAAAAUAAAAUUGCUAAACUAGAAUAGAACUUAAAACACUUAAAUAACAAAUAUGUUGUAAUGAUCAUAUUCUCAAUGGAAGAUAUCUCUCAGAACUAUACUAGCUUCCAUUUUAACUUCAAAGAUAGCCCUACCAUACAAGUAUCAGACAGUGUGAUGUUUUCCUUUUGACAACCACAACAAUUAAUGCUUCAGGAAAAAUCAAUAAUACAUUAUCUUAAUGUCAAAAACAGACUCUUGCACUAACACAUUCCAGCAACAACAAAACCAGACAUGUUAAGGGACUGGAAAUUACACACUACAAACCAUAAGAUGUUUCCAAAGCACUUUCAGCGUUAACAAUUAUGAAAAAGAAUAUCUAAAUUUUUGAAGGUCUACUUGGAGGAUUUGCAAAUCUAAGUUCUUAAAUUCCACUACAUUAAGCUCGAAUAGGCACUUAAUUCCACUUCCAGUAAUUUUAAAUUCAGCAACCUAAUAAAAACAAUAAAUCCCAAAAUGAGGAUGAUCUGUGAGGUUAUUUACAUUUUAUGGAGACUGAACUUUCAAAUUUUAGGAAAUCGACAUCCAAAAUACUUAAUGCCGAGAAGCCAUGUUACCAACAGUUUGUAGGAAAUAAUCAUAUGGAACAUGCAUGAUCAUUACUUAAAAAGAUAAGACCGUGACAAUAUGUCAAAGUUUGUUUAUCAUACUUUACUGCCGGCUCAUGAAAAUGC
rnacentral:misc_RNA from 1 species